rnacentral:misc_RNA from 1 species
GUGAAUCAUCAAAUUUUUGAACGCAAAUUGCGCCUUUUUCGGAAGGCAUGUCUGUUUGAGGGCACCAUUUAACAAAUAAUGUGCACCGUUUUGUGUGUGCACACGUUGAUGAGCUUUCCAGGAAAAUUUUUUUUUUUUUUUUUUUUUUUUGGUUGCGCAUAAUUAACAGGGCGAAAGCUUUUUUUUAAGUUCGAGUUUAUUAAAAUUUUUGCGUGGGUUGUGAAAAGAAAGGUGA